GAUGAACGCUGGCGGCGUGCCUAAUACAUGCAAGUCGAGCGAAGCGGGGACGGGUGAGUAACCCGUGGAUAACCUCCUAUAAGACUGGGAUAACUUCGGGAAACCGGAGCUAAACCGGAAAAUUAUCGAUGGAUCUUCGUUGCAUGGGCUGGUUGGGAAGGUAACGGCUUACCAAGGCAACGAUGCAUGACCGACCUGAGAGGGGUAUCGGCCAAACUGGAACUGAGACACGGUCCAGACUCCUACGGGAGGCAGCAGUAGGGAAUCUUCCGCAAUGGGCGAAAGCCUGACGGAGCAACGCCGCGUGAGUGAUGAAGGUCUUCGGAUCGUAAAACUCUUUUAUUAGGGAAGCGGUACUUACUCAGAAAGCAACGGCUAACUACGUGCCAGCAGCCGCGGUAAUUC
rnacentral:rRNA from 1 species